GGGUAGCCAAACAGGCUAACAGACGUCCCAGUGUGUAGGAAGAGCUUAUUACACUUCAGAUUUUAGCUGCUAGAACACCAUGCUCAGGCAGCAUAAUUAGUGGCUUGUUUUUCAAAAACAUUGGGGGCUUAGAACCAAAUCCCAUUGUUGCAGGCACAGUAAUGUUGAAACUCAAGCCAGGUGCUGAGAAAAAUGAAUGUGGAUUUGGCAUCUAGCUUGUGUGUGGUGUUUAUGGAAUAUCUAGACUCAGCAAUUGCCCAAAAUGGCAGAGUCUAGCAUGUGUGUCACCAGGGACAGAGGCUGGAGAGAAUGGAUGUGUGGAAAAGGAUUAAAAGCCCCUUUUGAAAUGUCUCCAAUUCCCCUUCUCUCCCUGCCAGGCUGCAGAACUCCCGUGUCUGUCUCCAGCUCAGCCCCUGGCCUGCAGAGCCAGGGACAGGAAUUGGCUGUGGCGGAGCCGGUGACCUUUGAGGAGGUGGCUGUGUAUUUCUCUGAGGAGGAAUAGGCUCACCUGGACCUGGGCCAGAGACCCUAUACUGGGAUGUGAUGCAGGAGAAUAAUGAGGCUGUGAGCUGGCUAACAGGGUAUCCAGUCUCCAAAGCUCAUGUGUUCUCCAGGGUGGACCGAGGGGAAAAGCUGCAGAUUCUGGAUCUUCAGGGCUGUAAAGAAGGAGAGAUCACCAGUGACACCCACACAGAAUUUCCUUUCAGCUCAGCACAGGGAAUGACUCCUGAAUGGAUUCCCUGUCCCAACAGAUGGUGGGACUCUGACUGAGAACCAUGAGAAGAAUCUUCAGCAAGAAGAACCAGCGUGAAUGACUCCAUGUGGGAUGUUAUUGGGAGGAUCUGAAGGGCAUGCUACUCAGAGUCCUGAAGAAGAGAGAUGCCAGGGAUGGUGCCUCAUGCUGGGUCCCUGAGGUCUCAAACAAACUCAGCUCCUGCCUGCCUGUGUAUCAAAGCUUGGGGGACUGUUCCUGCUGUGUAUGAGGGUGAGAUGCUGCUUCAUUCUCAGCCUAUCUAGUUUCUGAGGCUUAGAUGGUGUUUGUGUUUAUUUCUUGCGUGAUCUGCUUUGCCCUGUGUGCUCACGUCACUCCAGCUGAACUUUCUGGAUUGAUAUAAUCUCCUUUGUGAGUUUUCCCCCUGAGGGCAGAAGGGAUUGAGGGUCCCAUCUGGGAGUGUCUGUGGAGAUUUCCCCUUUCCCCAGACUGCAGUGGGAAGGGGACUGGAAAAGGCAGGGGUACAGGAGGGGCUGGCAUUGAACUGAGGAGAGCUCCAUGAGAUGGUUGCAAACACCCGAUUUGGGGGGGGGGGAUUUGAACCCACGUGUGCAGAGCACAACAGAUUAGCAGUCCAUCAUUGUCACCACUCAGCCACCUCACUUGAGCUGUAGUUAUUUCUUUCAAAUUACCCAAAGUCAGCACUGCUGGGAACCAUUGUGCCACUUGCUGGCCGGCCAGGGACACCCAGGGCUGGAAGGUUUUGGCUUUUCACAAUGUUCCCAGGGCUACUGUACAAAGCUCAGUGCUGGUAACAAACCCAAACACCCCCUGGGUGCCCAAAGACGGGCUGGCUAGUCACAGUCUGGCUCGGAGCACUCUGCAAUGGGAAGAUGUGCACGGGGCAGUCACACGGCAGUGGCACACAGCUCAGUUCACUCUGCUAUGUCGUGUGCGAUCCCUGCUGUUCUGUGGUAAUUCUCUGUGUGUGCCUCAGUUUCCCUAGUCACCGCACUGCUAUUUAGAUGGGGAUGGGAAUUCUGGGUGUGACUCACUGAGGCCCGCUCUGUACUAGGCCGGGCAGGUCGGCUUAAGGGAUGCAAAAUGCCAACCUGCUAGGGAAGCUGAAUCUAGCUGCGCAUUAUGCAUCUCUGGUACCUGAGCUAACAAGUCUGUUCUACACUGUCCCCCUGUGAUGUAACAAACCUUCUGUUCUACCUGCUGGCUAAGAGUCACAUCCGGCUGUAGAUGGGGACGCAGGGCCUGGUGACUUACUGGUGUUUCUCAGUUGUUUCCCAAACCUCCGCUAAUGGCACCUCAGCCUGGGAGCAUCAGCCUGAGCCUCCUCCUGCUCUUCAGCGUCAUUCUCCACCAAAGGCUCGUGCCAGGGCAGGAAGCCUCAUCAGCCCCGUUUCGCUGACCGGAGAAGGGAGGCUCUCAAGAGUCAGGUGACAUGCCUGGGGCAGGCUAGGAGAAGUUCUGUGCGUGGGGAGGGGCAGAAGGGACAGAUGCUUUUUCUUAGGGGGAGGGAGGGUGUCUGUGUUCCUGUUCCUCCCUGUGCCCCCUUUCUGACUGGCUAGCUGAG